rnacentral:lncRNA from 1 species
AUGAACUGUCACAACUCCAGCCCCAGACUGAACCCCAGGCACACCACAGACUGCUUCCCUGGGUCCUCCUGGCUUCACAAGCCAUCCAGAUUCCCAGAGGCUAAGUGGGUGACCUGGGGCACACCUGGCUGUCUUGGCACAGCCACUAAGCGCACACAUUCCCUCAUAAGUGCCGCACCUGGACAAACAGGACUCAUACUUUUUGGCUCCAAGGACAAUAUUUCUUUGCUGGAUCAUUUUCCUGUCUGCAUCCCCGGCCAUCCCACAGAGAAAUGCCCUCCUCGUGUUGUCUGUAAAACCCCAGGAAUGCCUCUCCUGACACUUCAGCCUUUCGUAGUGGUUUGGGCAAUUUGGAAAUACAAUUAAAGCAAUAGUUUAGUGAUUUUUCUGUGCCUCCUCUGUUUUUGCAAGCCCCACGGAUUAUUAUUUUUACUGUGGCUGUGAAGAGCCCUGAUCUUGUCCACUAAAUCCUUCUAUCUAAUGAGCAAUGGCUUAACAAAAGUCCCAAAGCCAUAAACUUGGAGGUUAUCCUUUCCAGGCCACCAAUGAGGUGUCCACCGAUGAUGGAGUUUCUGUCCCACCAAGGCCCACAGUCAUUUGGUCCCAAAUAAACACACAGAGGCUCAUGACUAAGACGGGAAUUAACUCUCUCUUAAUUAUUAACCCAUUUCUGUUAAUCUAUGUAUCUCCAUUUGGUCCUGGCUUACCAGAAAAAAAUCUCAGCAUCCUACCUUCCUGGUGGCUACAUGGCCUCUCCGUCUGGAAACCACUUUUGUACCUUUCCUUUUCCAGAAUUCUCCUAGUCUGGUAGCCCGGCCUAUACUUCCUGCCUGGCUACUGGCCAAUCAGCAUUUGUUCAUUAACCAAUAAGAGAAACAUAUUCACAGAAGGACAUCCUCCAUCAAUCCAUCUUCGGAUAAAUGUUCUUUGUAUGGGUUUGGGAGUAUCUUUGAAUGAGUGAACGGUCAGGAGAGAGGAGCUAGUGAGCCUCUGCUUUGUCUGAAGAGGAGGAAGUGACUCCAGUCUCUACCAUUGGGUGGGAGCAAUGGCUGGGCAAGUCUUGCUCACUCUGGGAAAAUACUGACUUUGGUGGCUUGGUUAAGGGGGUAUGCCAGCUAUGUGAUUUAUGUGUCAAUGCAAAAACAGACAUAUAUAUACAGACAUGUGUUUUAUAU